GAACGCAAACAAAAUAAAUAUACAGAAAAAAAAUCAUCAACAAAAAAGGUUUACAGGAAACGAUGUCUGUUGCCGUCUGCAGCUCGCCGGUUUUCUCCCCGUCCUCUUCUCUUUUCUGCAACAACAAGGCGUUGAACAUUUCUCCGGCGCAUCAAAACCUGACUCUGUCUCAUUCCCAUCUCACUCCUCUUGCUUCUUCUCCUUCGGCUGCGUCUCCCACUUCGCCGUUCUGCCUCCGUCUUCUUAAACCGCCGG
rnacentral:lncRNA from 1 species